GACGAACCGUGCGAACGUUGUUCGGAUUCACUGGGCUUAAAGGGCGCGUAGGCGGGCCAUCAAGUCCGGGGUGAAAGCCCCCAGCUCAACUGGGGAAGUGCCUCGGAUACUGACGGCCUCGAGGGGGGUAGGGGCGGGCGGAACUUCCGGUGGAGCGGUGAAAUGCGUAGAUAUCGGAAGGAACGCCGGUGGCGAAAGCGGCCCGCUGGACCCUCUCUGACGCUGAGGCGCGAAAGCCAGGGGAGCAAACGGG
rnacentral:rRNA from 1 species